rnacentral:misc_RNA from 1 species
GUGAAUCAUCAAAUUUUUGAACGCAAAUUGCGCUUCUUGGUAUCCCGGGAAGUAUGCCUGUUUGAGGGUCAGUAUUAAUAAAAAAUCGGUUUAGUUACAAAUUGUGAAGUUUCCGGAGUUUGUGCUAUCUUAACAUUUUUGGUUUAAAGGCUUAAAAUUGACCUUUUUUCCGAUGUUUUAAAUGCACAUAAAUUUUUUUUAUUCGUCUAUUUUUAUUGCC